rnacentral:rRNA from 1 species
GACGAACGCUGGCGGCGUGCUUAACACAUGCAAGUCGAACGGAAAGGCCCCUUUGGGGGUACUCGAGUGGCGCACGGGUGAGUAACACGUGAGUAACCUGCCCUUGACUUCGGGAUAACUUCAGGAAACUGGGGCUAAUACCGGAUAGGAAUCCUUGCUGCAUGGUGGGGGUUGGAAAGCUUCGGCGGUUUUGGAUGGACUCGCGGCUUAUCAGCUUGUUGGUGGGGUAGUGGCUUACCAAGGCUUUGACGGGUAGCCGGCCUGUGAGGGCGACCGGCCACAUUGGGACUGAGAUACGGCCCAGACUCUUACGGGAGGCAGCCGUGGGGAAUCUUGCACAAUGGGCGGAAGCCUGAUGCAGCAACGCCGCGUGCGGGAGGACGGCCUUCGGGUUGUAAACCGCUUUCAGCAGGGGCGAAGCUUGUGGUGACGGUACCUGCAGAAGAAGCACCGGCUAACUACGUG